rnacentral:lncRNA from 1 species
CACAUGACAGUUACGGCACAUAUAUCACAAGUUUGUUCAGGGAUUUCCACUUUGUUCUUCAGAGGUAGUAGUUUAGGACAGUAGGCUUUGUAGCUCAUGCAAGUUGUUGCCUUUCUGCUGCCUUGCCUCAUGGCCAUGAAGAAGCAGUUGGACCUGCAAUUCCUCCACCUUUCCCUGGCUCCUCCUUCAGCUUCUUCCAUACAUGGCACAGAAGAUGCCAUUCAGAAUACCACAUUGCAUUUGGUCAUAUUGAUCCCUUAAGCACCUCUAAACUAAACUGUGACCGUUUAUCAGAAUUUCCUUGUUUUUGAAGACUGUGAUAUCUGAUUGCUGAACAAAUUAUCUUUUUCUCCACCGAAUUGUCUUUGCACUUUUGAAGAAGAGAUGGAAGAAGAGGAAGAACAUUGUUCAUUAUGUACGCAUCUAUUUCUGGACUUUCUACUCUCUUCCACUGAUCUAUUUGUGAAUUAUUUGAUUAUCAUAGUGUAUGGUGAGGCCCGAGUCAAGCUAGCCUCUGUACCUCCAUUUUUAGUAAAAUCUCCAUUUAUGCAUGGCACUGACCUCUGCCUGAACCCCCAGGUAGUGUGUCAAGAUAAGAGCUGUUGUCAAGAUAAGUGUUCUGAGAAAAACUGCAAAAUGUACCGUUCCCGUAGCGGUCGUUUUGCUUCUGUAACUGCGCUUGCCGCCCCCGCCCUCGCCCUCGCCCUCACCGCUUACCGGGCUAACUGAUUGGCCACUGGAGCUCGAGAGAGAGCAAACUUCCUGCUUAUGAAACUGCUUAAAAACUGCAGCUGAAAGACGUCCGGGGUCCUUCUCUGGGGCUGCGUCCUUGAGAUUGGACCCUGGACGGCGAAAUAAAAGCUUGGC